rnacentral:rRNA from 1 species
AACGUAGGAGGCGAGCGUUAUCCGGAUUUACUGGGCGUAAAGCGCACGCAGGCGGCUCUGUGAGUCGGACGUGAAAGCUCCUGGCUUAACUGGGAGAGGUCGUUCGAUACUGCAGGGCUUGAGGUUGGGAGAGGGGUGUGGAAUUCCCGGUGUAGUGGUGGAAUGCGUAGAUAUCGGGAGGAACACCAGUGGCGAAAGCGGCACCCUGGCCCACACCUGACGCUGAGGUGCGAAAGCGUGGGUAGCAAACAGG